GGGCCAGUGGCUAAGCCAGGUAUAGCGACAGGCUCUUAACUUGUUGGUCGGGGGUUCAAGUCCCCCCUGGCCCGCCA
rnacentral:tRNA from 1 species